rnacentral:rRNA from 1 species
AUGGAUUUGAGUUUGUCUCAUACGCUUCAUCUUUUUAAUAUCUUUCGUGAGAACGAUGGAAAGGAAAAUUGUGCUCAAGUGCUAGAAGAAGAAAUCUAUAGAAUGUUUGAUACUAAAUCUUUGAAUGAUGAGCAUGAUUUCAGUGUUGUUAGUAUGAAUUCCUUGAACAUCCAUGAUGCUAAUGAUAUGCAAAGCCACAAGCUUGGGGAAGCUAUGUUUGAUGAAUAUGAUAUUUUUUGUCCCCCAAGUUUUGAUGAGCACAUUUAUUUUGAUGAAAGCAUGCCUCCUAUUUAUGAUGAUUAUAUUGAUGAAAGUGGGUUUGGAAGAGUGUCAACUUUAGAAAGUAGUGAUCCCACUAUUUUGGAGGAUGUUGAAUCUUAUUGUGAUGAACAUGAAAGUGGAUUUGGAAGAGUGUCAACUUUAUUUAGUGAUGAUUCCACCAUUUUGGAAGAGGUUACAAUUGAUUAUGAGAACAAAGUUGCUAUCUAUGAUGAUUAUUGUGAUGACCUGUAUGCUAUUAGAAAUAAUGAUAACCAUGAAACUUGUCAUUAUGAUUUUAGUUUUCAAUUGGAUUAUGCCUCACAUGAUAAUUAUUUUGUUGAGUUUGCUCUCACUAUUAUUCAUGAGAAGAAUUUUGCUUUUGUGGAGAGUAGUAAAUUUUCUAUGCUUGUAGAUCAUGAAAGGAAUGCUUUAUGUGCUGGUUAUAUUGUUGAAUUCCUUCAUGAUGCUACUGAAAAUUAUUAUGAGGGAGGAACAUAUGCUUGUAGGAAUUGCAAUAAUAUCAAGUUUCCUCUCUAUGUGCUUAAAAUCUUGAAGCUAUGCUUGUUUUACCUUCAUAUGCUAGUUGAUUAUUGUUCCCAUAAGUUGUUUGCUCACAAAACCCCCAUGCAUAGGAAGAGGGUUAGACUUAAAUGUGCUAGUCAUAUGCUUCAUGAUGCUCCUGUUAUGUUUCAAUUCUUAUCUUUUACGUGGGCAUCAUUGUCAUCAUCAUGCCUAGCUAGAAAGGCAUUAAAGAAAAGCGCUUGUUGGGAGACAACCCAAUAUUUAUCCUUACAGUUUUUGUGUUUUCACAUGAUUAUGAUACUGUAG